GGUGCUCUGAGCGGGUGAGCCGCGUGCCCAGGCCACCUUCCCACAGAGGCUCCAGCCCAGGGUGGGCUGUGCUCGUCCCGCCUGCGUCCUUCCUGGCUUAG
rnacentral:miRNA from 1 species